ensembl:lncRNA
CCCCUAGAUGGUGGGUGAAGCCAGGUCCUGGGGUUAGUGCUGGAUUAUGAUAGGCAGUGCCAGGUCCUAAUGUUUGCUGCAGGGUCCAGGGGUCCCAGAGCUGGUGUCACAUCGCCUGGGGGAGCAGUUCCUGACACAGUUGGGUAUGGGGUCCCAGGUGUGCUGAAGCUUGUGUUGGCCUGUUAGUGGGCAAGGCCAGGACCCAAUUGGUCCCAGAGUAGGUUCUGGCCUGCUAAGGGCAGGCUGGGUCUGAAGCCUGGGGGAUUGCGUUUUCCUUGCGUCUGUCUGAUGUCUGGCCCUAAUGGGUGAGGCUGGUCUAGAAACUUGUGCACGUUUCCUGGAGGACAAAGCCAGUGCCUGCCCACAAGCGGGUGGGCCUUGUCUGGAGGAGGCUGUAGUUUCAGGAAGUCUUUAGGAGUAUGUGCUGAUGGGACUGUGUCUCUGCCCAGCUGUUUGGUCUGAGGCAUCCUGGUGAGGACACCUCCAGGAUGUCAGGUGGGGCCAAGUGUGGCCAGGUGUUGCGGCUAAUGAGCUAACAACGCCUCCAGCACCAGCUUCUAGAACGAGCUCCUAAAUAUGGCUCCCGCUGCCGCGCCCUCUCACCUCUUGUCUCUCCGGGAGACACUCCUAGAAGAAGCAGUCAGUUUUCAUUCCAAUCCCAAAGAAAGGCAAUGCCAAAGAAUGCUCAAACUACCGCACAGUUGCACUCAUCUCACAUGCUAGUAAAGUAAUGCUCAAAAUUCUCCAAGCCAGGCUUCAGCAAUAUGUGAACUGUGAACUUCCAGAUGUUCAAGCUGAUUUUAGAAAAGGCAGAGGAACCAAAGACCAAAUUGCCAACGUCCACUGGAUCAUCGUAAAAGCAAGAGAGUUCCAGAAAAACAUCUAUUUCUGCUUUAUUGACUAUGCCAAAGCCUUUGACUGUGUGGAUCACAAUAAACUGUGGAAAACUCUCCAAGAGAUGGGAAUACCAGACCACCUGACCUGCCUCUUGAGAAACCUAUAUGCAGGUCAGGAAGCAACAGUUAGAACUGGACAUGGAACAACAGACUGGUUUCAAAUAGGAAAAGGAGUAUGUCAAGGCUGAAUAUUGUCACCCUGUUUAUUUAACUUAUAUACAGAGUACAUUAUGAGAAAUGCUGGGCUUGAGGAAGCACAAGCUGGAAUGAAGAUUGCUGGGAGAAAUAUCAAUACCCUCAGAUAUGCAGAUGACACUACCCUUAUGGCAGAAAGUGAAGAACUAAAGAGCCUUUUGAUGAAAGUGAAAAAGGAGAGUGAAAAAGUUGGCUUAAAGCUCAACAUUCAGAAAACUAAGAUCAUGGCAUCUAGUACCAUCACUUCAUGGCAAAUAGAUGGGGAAACAGUGGAAACAGUGGCUGACUUUAUUUGGGGGGGGGGGCUCCAAAAUCACUGCAGAUGGUGAUUGCUGCUGUGAAAUUAAAAGACGCUUACUCCUUAGAAGGAAAGUUAUAACUGACCUAGACAGCAUAUUAGUCAGCCAUUAAAAAGAAUACAUUUGAAUCAGUUCUAAUGAGGUGGAUGAAACUGGAGCCUAUUAUACAGAGUGAAGU